AUGAACGCUGGCGGCGUGCCUAAUACAUGCAAGUCGAGCGAACGGACGAGAAGCUUGCUUCUCUGAUGUUAGCGGCGGACGGGUGAGUAACACGUGGAUAACCUACCUAUAAGACUGGGAUAACUUCGGGAAACCGGAGCUAAUACCGGAUAAUAUUUUGAACCGCAUGGUUCCAAAGUGAAAGACGGUCUUGCUGUCACUUAUAGAUGGAUCCGCGCUGCAUUAGCUAGUUGGUAAGGUAACGGCUUACCAAGGCAACGAUGCAUAGCCGACCUGAGAGGGUGAUCGGCCACACUGGAACUGAGACACGGUCCAGGCUCCUACGGGAGGCAGCAGUAGGGAAUCUUCCGCAAUGGGCGAAAGCCUGACGGAGCAACGCCGCGUGAGUGAUGAAGGUCUUCGGAUCGUAAAACUCUGUUAUUAGGGAAGAACAUAUGUGUAAGUAACUGUGCACAUCUUGACGGUACCUAAUCAGAAAGCCACGGCUAACUACGUG
rnacentral:rRNA from 1 species